rnacentral:tRNA from 1 species
CGGAGUGUAGCGCAGUCUGGUAGCGCACCUCGUUCGGGACGAGGGGGGCGGAGGUUCGAAUCCUCUCACUCCGACCA